rnacentral:rRNA from 1 species
UGCCAGCAGCCGCGGUAAUACGGAGGGUGCAAGCGUUGCUCGGAAUUAUUGGGCGUAAAGGGUAGGUAGGUGGUCUCGUAAGUCUAAGGUGAAAUCCCGAAGCUCAACUUCGGAACUGCCUUGGAAACUACGAGACUAGAGUCCCAGAGAGGGUCGCGGAAUACCCGGUGUAGCGGUGAAAUGCGUAGAGAUCGGGUGGAACACCAGAGGCGAAGGCGGCGACCUGGAUGGGUGCUGACACUCAACUACGAAAGCGUGGGUAGCAAACAGGAUUAGAUA